rnacentral:rRNA from 1 species
UACGUAGGGUCCGAGCGUUGUCCGGAAUUAUUGGGCGUAAAGGGCUCGUAGGCGGCCAACUAAGUCAGACGUGAAAUCCCCAGGCUUAACCUGGGAACUGCGUCUGAUACUGGAUGGCUUGAAUUCGGGAGAGGGAUGCAGAAUUCCAGGUGCAGCGGUGAAAUGCGUAGAUAUCUGGAGGAAUACCGGUGGCGAAGGCGGCAUCCUGGACCGAGAUUGACGCUGAUGAGCGAAAGCUAGGGGAGCAAACGGG